GGAGGGCUAACGAGCUUCUUGUCAUUCAAUCCUCUUCUCUCGCAGGCAAUAUACACCCUUUGCCUUGGCAAAAGCAGCGAGAUACUAUCCUCUUGCGGAGACUGGUACAAUUUCCGCAUUGAUUUAGCAGGAGAGCAGCGACACGGCAUGGCGCUUCGUGAUACCAGUCGCAAUCCUGCACAGGGCCAAGUGGUCGGGUGCGUGUAAGUUCUAGAUCUUUCUUGCCUUUGCAAUUCUUUUUUGAGCAAUGGCUUGUUGCGGGAACUUCUCCAACACUUAUGGGUGCAUUCCUGAGCAGAUUCCUGAGCCAUUGCAGGUGGAUUCGAUCCGGGAGAGCAUGAGCAGGCAGGUGCUGGGGUGGCCAAUCGUGAGCGGGGGAUGGAGCUGGUGGACAGAUCGUGGUGAGGGAUGGCGAGGGAGGAGUUGAGGAGGAAACUUGGGCGCUUGGGAACUGGGGCCAUGUCGACCAAAGGUUAAGAAUUCUUUGGUAGGAAAGAAGACGAAAGUUUAGCGGUAAAUUACAUUUUUAAUUAUAAUAUAACCUUUUCUUUAGUAAGUUAAUAUUGUUCUUGAGAGUCCAACCCAAAGGAUGCCAAGAUUCCCGGG
rnacentral:lncRNA from 1 species